UACGUAGGGUGCGAGCGUUAAUCGGAAUUACUGGGCGUAAAGCGUGCGUAGGCGGUUCGUUAAGUUCGUUGUGAAAGCCCCGGGCUCAACCUGGGAAUGGCAAUGGAAACUGGCGGGCUGGAGUAUGGCAGAGGGGGGUGGAAUUCCGCGUGUAGCAGUGAAAUGCGCAGAUAUCAGGAGGAACACCGGUGGCGAAGGCGGGUCUCUGGGCCGAUACUGACGCUGAGGAGCGAAAGCGUGGGGAGCGAACAGG
rnacentral:rRNA from 1 species